rnacentral:lncRNA from 1 species
GUUGUCAACUUUCUCAUAAACCACCUCUAAGCUAUAUAAAAUUCAAUUUAUUGCUUUUAAUUUUAAUUACAAGGAGGAAAAUCAUAUUUUCUUAGUGUUUUUCUAUCUUGAAAGUAAGAAAUGCCUGGGACCAACAAUUAAUUGUUUUGUAGGAAUAUAUCUAGCUGAUUUUCAUGCUGUUCUUUUUCUCCCCAAUAAACAUAUAAUAUUCUUUGUCUUAUGCAGGAAAUAGUGAUCUGACUUUGAAUAAUUUUGGGAUUGGAAUCUGGUUGUGAAAGUCAAACAAAAGGAGUUAUUAGUUUUGGAGUUGGCUUCUAUGUACCGUAGAAAGGCAGGAAUUUUAAUGUGUCCAAAUGAUGUUUGAUGUAGACAGGGAUUUUGAUUUUAGACAAAAUACGUAGGUUUGAUGGUUGGAUGAAUUCUUUGGAAGCUAGCAGUGUGGAUUUGUGAUGUUUAUCAUUUUCUUGAAGCAUGAAUUGGAAAGAUGAUGAAAAUUUGUGGGAAUGACUGAUGCUAAUAACAUGACAAUUCUCUUGUUCUCUCAGGUUGAGAUGUUGUAAUUCUUGUUGACAAGAGCGCCUUUACCACCAAUUGGACAUCUAGUUACUGCAGUUAAACAUCGGAUAAUCUAGUUUAUGGCACUCCUAGUUUCUGAUUAUGAGGCUUGUUUUGGAGCCUUUGCUUGCGUCUUAACAAGUCAUAGAUAGCCAGAGUGUUGGAGCUAUCAUGGAUGGUUAAAGGACUAUAUAUUUAUGAGAUAGUAAUGCAUUUGCUCAGAAGAUGGAAAUGUCCAGAGAAAUGUCAAUUACAUAUUUUAUAUAUUGAGUG